CAAUCACCAAGGAUUUCUGCGUUUAUCAACAGGGAUACCCUUAAGACCCUUGCCGGUGCCCUCAUACAGUGUCAUUUUGACUACGCCUGCACCUCAUGGUUCACCAGUAUCCCCAAGCCACUAAAAACAAAACUGCAAACUUCCCAAAACAAGCUGGUGAGACUCCUGCUCAACCUCCCAUACAGGACUCACCUAACUCAAGCCCACUUUACCAAAUUGGGAUGGCUUAAAGUUGAGGAAAGAGUACACCAAAUUGCAAUGUGCCUGGUAUUCAAAAUACUCAGAGAAACUGUCCCCAAGUACCUGUCAAACUAUUUCACCAGAGUAAGUGAUGCUCACAGGUACUACACGAGAGGGAGUUCCUCAGACCUCGUCCCCCCCAAAUUCAUAUGGGAAAAAAUGCAUUCAACUAUUUUGCCACCACACAGUGGAAUGCACUACCCCUGAUCUGAAACAAAAUUGAUCCCCAGCAACUUUCCGAAGCAUCAAACAGGUUUACAUAUGGUUAUAGUGUAUAUAUAUUUUCUCAUUCUGUUUUGCACACUCUGGGUGUCAACAUGUGCAUAGUCAUGUACAUAGUGUCAUGUACAUAGUGUAUACCCCACCCCCAAUUUUUUAACGUCAUUUUUUAUAUACAUGUUACAGGUUAUAUAUAUUUUAUUAUUGAAUGUAUCAAAUGUGAGGAAUAUUUAAUGGACCGCACUGGAAACAAGCCUUUUGGCUUUUUGUGCCAUCCAUUUGCCUUUUUAAAGCAUUACAUGUGUGAUGGGACACAAGUAGGGGAUUGAAUUUUUUUGUUUCAUUGCCAUGCAUGUCUUAUAAUGUUUUAUUGCUGUGGAUUUUUUAUUGCAUGUUUUUACAUUUUAGAAUUUGAUUGUCUUUUAAUUGCAUGUUUUUACUCCUUGUGGACUUUGCUGGUAUUUUAAGACGUUGCCCCUUUUUAGCUUGUUGCCCCUAACAACCGAAGUGCCCACUCAAACGACACCUUAAGUUAAACGCACCUGUGGAGCAUUAGGACUGCACCCAUUUAAAAGAGAACAGGCAGGAUCGACGAGGAGGGAAGCGACAGCAGAGCGAUCGGGGAAGAAUCGACAGGCUUGACAAGGAGGACCGGGUGAACGCACGCAGGCUGGGAAGGAACCCCGGACUACACAGCAGACCCCGCAGGCUACCGCAGUGAGCCCCAAGAAGCCUACAACACGCAGGGGCAGAGGAAACUCUGCCUCCGAAGGGGCGAUUGGGACCAAGAGACCUGCGGCGACCCCCGGGAGCGACCAAGAGGCGGAGCGAGACGGGACGGGUACGGCCACGUAGGUCCCGCGAGUGACCGGCGACAGGCGAGGAGAGUGGGCGUACCCAAUACUUCGACGCGGAACUACACAGGGGCAGGGGAAACCCUGCCUUGCGUGAGCCAGGAGGCUGACCCACU